UACGGAGGGUGCAAGCGUGAAUCGGAAUUACUGGGCGUAAAGCGCACGUAGGCGGCAAAUUAAGCUAGCUGUGAAAGCCCCGGGCUCAACCUGGGAAUUGCAGUUGGAACUGGUUUGCUAGAGUACGGUAGAGGAGUGUGGAAUUUCCUGCGUAGCGGUGAAAUGCGUAGAUAUCGGAAGGAACAUCAGUGGCGAAGGCGACACUCUGGACUGAUACUGACGCUGAGGUGCGAAAGCGUGGGGAGCAAACAGG
rnacentral:misc_RNA from 1 species